GUAGCACAAGUACGGGACUGGCCCUGAACGGGUCAGAUCCUUCCGCAAGACACUUGCCGAAGCCUUGGCAGCCCGAAAGGGUGCAGCCCAACGACUCUAAACAUGAGGCUGCUUAAAUGCUAGUCCGCAUUCUGCGGGCCACUAUCAAAUUGCUGGAACGCCUUAAAAACCUCAACACCAAGCGCUGGUGGGAAACUGCAGCGUGGCCGAGCUAACAGCCCUGGGUAUGGUAACAGCUUGAGGUAUGAUG
rnacentral:misc_RNA from 1 species